GGUUAAGCGACUAAGCGUACACGGUGGAUGCCCUGGCAGUCAGAGGCGAUGAAGGACGUGCUAAUCUGCGAUAAGCGUCGGUGAGGUGAUAUGAACCGUUAUAACCGGCGAUUUCCGAAUGGGGAAACCCAGUGUGUUUCGACACACUAUCAUUAACUGAAUCCAUAGGUUAAUGAGGCGAACCGGGGGAACUGAAACAUCUAAGUACCCCGAGGAAAAGAAAUCAACCGAGAUUCCCCCAGUAGCGGCGAGCGAACGGGGAGGAGCCCAGAGCCUGAAUCAGUGUGUGUGUUAGUGGAAGCGUCUGGAAAGGCGCGCGAUACAGGGUGACAGCCCCGUACACAAAAAUGCACAUACUGUGAGCUCGAUGAGUAGGGCGGGACACGUGGUAUCCUGUCUGAAUAUGGGGGGACCAUCCUCCAAGGCUAAAUACUCCUGACUGACCGAUAGUGAACCAGUACCGUGAGGGAAAGGCGAAAAGAACCCCGGCGAGGGGAGUGAAAAAGAACCUGAAACCGUGUACGUACAAGCAGUGGGAGCCUCUUAAUGGGGUGACUGCGUACCUUUUGUAUAAUGGGUCAGCGACUUAUAUUCUGUAGCAAGGUUAACCGAAUAGGGGAGCCGAAGGGAAACCGAGUCUUAACUGGGCGUUAAGUUGCAGGGUAUAGACCCGAAACCCGGUGAUCUAGCCAUGGGCAGGUUGAAGGUUGGGUAACACUAACUGGAGGACCGAACCGACUAAUGUUGAAAAAUUAGCGGAUGACUUGUGGCUGGGGGUGAAAGGCCAAUCAAACCGGGAGAUAGCUGGUUCUCCCCGAAAGCUAUUUAGGUAGCGCCUCGUGAAUUCAUCUCCGGGGGUAGAGCACUGUUUCGGCAAGGGGGUCAUCCCGACUUACCAACCCGAUGCAAACUGCGAAUACCGGAGAAUGUUAUCACGGGAGACACACGGCGGGUGCUAACGUCCGUCGUGAAGAGGGAAACAACCCAGACCGCCAGCUAAGGUCCCAAAGUCAUGGUUAAGUGGGAAACGAUGUGGGAAGGCCCAGACAGCCAGGAUGUUGGCUUAGAAGCAGCCAUCAUUUAAAGAAAGCGUAAUAGCUCACUGGUCGAGUCGGCCUGCGCGGAAGAUGUAACGGGGCUAAACCAUGCACCGAAGCUGCGGCAGCGACACUAUGUGUUGUUGGGUAGGGGAGCGUUCUGUAAGCCUGUGAAGGUGGCCUGUGAGGGUUGCUGGAGGUAUCAGAAGUGCGAAUGCUGACAUAAGUAACGAUAAAGCGGGUGAAAAGCCCGCUCGCCGGAAGACCAAGGGUUCCUGUCCAACGUUAAUCGGGGCAGGGUGAGUCGACCCCUAAGGCGAGGCCGAAAGGCGUAGUCGAUGGGAAACAGGUUAAUAUUCCUGUACUUGGUGUUACUGCGAAGGGGGGACGGAGAAGGCUAUGUUGGCCGGGCGACGGUUGUCCCGGUUUAAGCGUGUAGGCUGAUUUUCCAGGCAAAUCCGGAAAAUUAAGGCUGAGGCGUGAUGACGAGGCACUACGGUGCUGAAGCGACAAAUGCCCUGCUUCCAGGAAAAGCCUCUAAGCAUCAGGUAACAUCAAAUCGUACCCCAAACCGACACAGGUGGUCAGGUAGAGAAUACCAAGGCGCUUGAGAGAACUCGGGUGAAGGAACUAGGCAAAAUGGUGCCGUAACUUCGGGAGAAGGCACGCUGAUAUGUAGGUGAAGCGACUUGCUCGUGGAGCUGAAAUCAGUCGAAGAUACCAGCUGGCUGCAACUGUUUAUUAAAAACACAGCACUGUGCAAACACGAAAGUGGACGUAUACGGUGUGACGCCUGCCCGGUGCCGGAAGGUUAAUUGAUGGGGUUAGCGGCAACGCGAAGCUCUUGAUCGAAGCCCCGGUAAACGGCGGCCGUAACUAUAACGGUCCUAAGGUAGCGAAAUUCCUUGUCGGGUAAGUUCCGACCUGCACGAAUGGCGUAAUGAUGGCCAGGCUGUCUCCACCCGAGACUCAGUGAAAUUGAACUCGCUGUGAAGAUGCAGUGUACCCGCGGCAAGACGGAAAGACCCCGUGAACCUUUACUAUAGCUUGACACUGAACAUUGAGCCUUGAUGUGUAGGAUAGGUGGGAGGCUUUGAAGUGUGGACGCCAGUCUGCAUGGAGCCGACCUUGAAAUACCACCCUUUA
rnacentral:rRNA from 1 species